rnacentral:rRNA from 1 species
UACAGAGGUCCCAAGCGUUGUUCGGAUUCACUGGGCGUAAAGGGUGCGUAGGUGGUGGGGUAAGUUGGAUGUGAAAGCUCCGAGCUUAACUCGGAAAUGGCAUUCAAAACUACCUUGCUAGAGGGUUGGAAGGGGGACUGGAAUUCUCGGUGUAGCAGUGAAAUGCGUAGAUAUCGAGAGGAACACCGGUGGCGAAGGCGGGCCUCUGGGCAGUAACUGACGCUGAGGAGCGAAAGCGUGGGGAGCGAACAGG